GCUCCCAUAGCUCAAACGGAUAGAGCGAUACCCUUCUAAGGUAUAUGUUGCUGGUUCGAUUCCAGCUGGGAGCG
rnacentral:tRNA from 1 species